rnacentral:ribozyme from 1 species
CUUGGACAGCUAUCCUCGUCAUAGUGUGGGGCGUGGCAGUGAUCGGGUCUUUCUGCCUCCUUCCUGUCUGGUCACU